CAUGCAAGUCGAACGGUAACGCGGGGCAACCUGGCGACGAGUGGCGAACGGGUGAGUAAUAUAUCGGAACGUGCCCAAUAGUGGGGGAUAGCCCGGCGAAAGCCGGAUUAAUACCGCAUGAGACCUGAGGGUGAAAGCGGGGGACUCGCAAGAGCCUCGCGCUACUGGAGCGGCCGAUAUCAGAUUAGGUAGUUGGUGGGGUAAAAGCCUACCAAGGCGACGAUCUGUAGCUGGUCUGAGAGGACGACCAGCCACACUGGAACUGAGACACGGUCCAGACUCCUACGGGAGGCAGCAGUGGGGAAUUUUGGACAAUGGGCGCAAGCCUGAUCCAGCAAUGCCGCGUGCAGGAUGAAGGCCUUCGGGUUGUAAACUGCUUUUGUACGGAACGAAACGGUUCUCCUUAAUACGGAGGGCUAAUGACGGUACCGUAAGAAUAAGCACCGGCUAACUACGUGCCAGCAGCCGCGGUAAUACGUAGGGUGCGAGCGUUAAUCGGAAUUACUGGGCGUAAAGCGUGCGCAGGCGGUUAUAUAAGACAGAUGUGAAAUCCCCGGGCUCAACCUGGGACCUGCAUUUGUGACUGUAUAGCUAGAGUACGAUAGAGGGGGAUGGAAUUCCGCGUGUAGCAGUGAAAUGCGUAGAUAUGCGGAGGAACACCGAUGGCGAAGGCAAUCCCCUGGACCUGUACUGACGCUCAUGCACGAAAGCGUGGGGAGCAAACAGGAUUAGAUACCCUGGUAGUCCACGCCCUAAACGAUGUCAACUGGUUGUUGGGUCUUCACUGACUCAGUAACGAAGCUAACGCGUGAAGUUGACCGCCUGGGGAGUACGGCCUCAAGGUUGAAACUCAAAGGAAUUGACGGGGGCCCGCACAAGCGGCGGAGCAUGCGGAUUAAUUCGAUGCAACGCGAAGAACCUUACCAAGGCUUGACAUGAACUAGUAAGGCGCAGAGAUGCGUCCCCCACUUUGUGGCUGGUUUACAGGUGGUGCAUGGUUGUCGUCAGCUCGUGUCGUGAGAUGUUGGGUUAAGUCCCGCAACGAGCGCAACCCUCGUUCUAUGUUGCCAGCACGUGAUGGUGGGGACUCAUAGGAGACUGCCGGGGUCAACUCGGAGGAAGGUGGGGACGACGUCAAAUCAUCAUGCCCCUUAUGUCUUGGGCUUCACGCAUGCUACAAUGGCCGGUACAAAGGGUUGCGAUACUGUGAGGUGGAGCUAAUCCCAAAAAGCCGGUCUCAGUUCGGAUUGGGGUCUGCAACUCGACCCCAUGAAGUCG
rnacentral:rRNA from 1 species